rnacentral:rRNA from 1 species
AACGAACGCUGGCGGCAUGCCUAAUACAUGCAAGUCGAACGAACACUUCGGUGUUAGUGGCGCACGGGUGCGUAACGCGUGGGAAUCUACCCUUGGGUUCGGAAUAACUUCGGGAAACUGAAGCUAAUACCGGAUGAUGACGUAAGUCCAAAGAUUUAUCGCCCAGGGAUAAGCCCGCGUAGGAUUAGCUAGUUGGUGGGGUAAAGGCUCACCAAGGCUACGAUCCUUAGCUGGUCUGAGAGGAUGAUCAGCCACACUGGGACUGAGACACGGCCCAGACUCCUACGGGAGGCAGCAGUAGGGAAUAUUGGACAAUGGGCGAAAGCCUGAUCCAGCAAUGCCGCGUGAGCGAUGAAGGCCUUAGGGUUGUAAAGCUCUUUUACCCGAGAUGAUAAUGACAGUAUCGGGAGAAUAAGCCCCGGCUAACUCCGUGCCAGCCGCCGCCGUAA